GUUUUUUUCUUAUCUUUCUCCUGCAUCCAACUCCUCAUGCCCUAUUCCAUCUAGCUCCUAGUCUCGAAGUCGACUGGUCUUGCCUGCUCCUCCUCUGUUGUGUCUGACCGACGUUGUUUCCUGCUUUCCUCUUCUUCCCGUCGAUUCAAGCUUUUAUAGCUCCCAAAACUGCUGCUUGUGUUGGUGUGCUUCGCCGCCAUUGCCUCUUAUGUUAAGCUGAUAGAAUUUUUGGAGCUAGAAAUAUCGUGAAGUUCCUACAGUUUUAUGUGACUAAUUCGAGAAGCAACUUCAGUUUUAUUACAGUGGGGUUUUUAGCUUCUUAUUCUGAAGCAGGAAUUUCUCAAUUUUCUUUUUAAUUUAAGCACUUGAUUUGUUCAAAUUAAUUCGCUUACUCAAAUGAAUACUUUGUGG
rnacentral:misc_RNA from 1 species